rnacentral:rRNA from 1 species
CCUACGGGAGGCAGCAGUGGGGAAUUUUGGACAAUGGGCGCAAGCCUGAUCCAGCAAUGCCGCGUGAGUGAAGAAGGCCUUCGGGUUGUAAAGCUCUUUUGUCAGGGAAGAAACGGCAGUUUCUAAUACAGAUUGCUAAUGACGGUACCUGAAGAAUAAGCACCGGCUAACUACGUGCCAGCAGCCGCGGUAAUACGUAGGGUGCAAGCGUUAAUCGGAAUUACUGGGCGUAAAGCGUGCGCAGGCGGUUUUGUAAGUUUGUCGUGAAAUCCCCGGGCUCAACCUGGGAAUGGCGAUGAAGACUGCAAGGCUAGAAUCUGGCAGAGGGGGGUAGAAUUCCACGUGUAGCAGUGAAAUGCGUAGAGAUGUGGAGGAACACCGAUGGCGAAGGCAGCCCCCUGGGUCAAGAUUGACGCUCAUGCACGAAAGCGUGGGGAGCAAACAGGAUUAGAUACCCUGGUAGUCCACGCCCUAAACGAUGUCUACUAGUUGUCGGGUUUUAAUUAACUUGGUAACGCAGCUAACGCGUGAAGUAGACCGCCUGGGGAGUACGGUCGCAAGAUUAAAACUCAAAGAAAUUGACGG